UACGUAGGGCGCAAGCGUUGUCCGGAAUUAUUGGGCGUAAAGCGUCCGUAGGUGGCUUUACAAGUCAGCUGUUAAAGCGUGGAGCUUAACUCCAUAAAGGCAGUUGAAACUGUGAGGCUAGAGUGCGGUAGGGGUAAGGGGAAUUCCUAGUGUAGCGGUGAAAUGCGUAGAUAUUAGGAAGAACACCGGUGGCGAAAGCGCCUUGCUGGACCUGCACUGACACUGAGGGACGAAAGCUAGGGGAGCGAAAGGG
rnacentral:rRNA from 1 species